GGAAACUCUGACCGAGCAAGGCCGCGUGAACGAUGAAGUAUUUCGGUAUGUAAAGUUCUUUUAUUGAAGAAGAAAAAAUAGUGGAAAAACUAUCUUGACGCUAUUCAAUGAAUAAGCCCCGGCAAACUAUGUGCCAGCAGCCGCGGUAAUACAUAGGGGGCGAGCGUUAUCCGGAAUUAUUGGGCGUAAAGGGUGCGUAGGCGGUUUAAUAAGUCUAUAGUUUAAUUUCAGUGCUUAACACUGUCCUGCUAUAGAAACUAUUAAACUAGAGUGAGAUAGAGGCAAGUGGAAUUCCAUGUGUAGCGGUAAAAUGCGUAAAUAUAUGGAGGAACACCAGAGGCGUAGGCGGCUUGCUGGGUCUUUACUGACGCUGAGGCACGAAAGCGUGGGGAGCAAACAGGAUUAGAUACCCUGGUAGUCCACGCCGUAAACGAUGAGUACUAAGUGUCGGGGUUACUCGGUACUGAAGUUAACACAUUAAGUACUCCGCCUGAGUAGUACGUACGCAAGUAUGAAACUUAAAGGAAUUGACGGGACUCCGCACAAGCGGUGGAUCAUGUUGUUUAAUUCGAAGAUACACGAAAAACCUUACCAGGUCUUGACAUACUCUGCAAAGCUAUAGCAAUAUAGUGGAGGUUAUCAGGGAUACAGGUGGUGCAUGGUUGUCGUCAGCUCGUGUCGUGAGAUGUUAGGUUAAGUCCUAAAACGAGCGCAACCCUUGUCACUAGUUGCCAGCAUGUUAUGAUGGGCACUUUAACGAGACUGCCAAUGAAAAA
rnacentral:rRNA from 1 species